UACGUAGGUGGCAAGCGUUGUCCGGAAUUAUUGGGCGUAAAGCGCGCGCAGGUGGUUUAAUAAGUCUGAUGUGAAAGCCCACGGCUCAACCGUGGAGGGUCAUUGGAAACUGUUAAACUUGAGUGCAGGAGAGAAAAGUGGAAUUCCUAGUGUAGCGGUGAAAUGCGUAGAGAUUAGGAGGAACACCAGUGGCGAAGGCGGCUUUUUGGCCUGUAACUGACACUGAGGCGCGAAAGCGUGGGGAGCAAACAGG
rnacentral:rRNA from 4 species